GCUAGAAUGGUCUCAGAACUGCCGAGGGCUGGAGGGAAAGCAACGGGAGGGGCGGAGGGAGGGGAUUCGGCAGCUCCAGCUCAGCUCGCUCGGCGCACCCACGCCUCGCUGCCCAGCUUCCUGCCCCCCACCUGGGCAUGCGCCCCCCACCCCACCGGCCCCCCAGAACCCGCGCCAUCCCCCGGAGCCUCCCCAGAGCUGGCCGCGCAGGAUGGGCGCCCUCAGGCCCACGCUGCUGCCGCCGUCGCCGCCGCCGCUGCUGCUGCUGCUGCUGCUAAUGCUAGGAAUGGGAUGCUGGGCCCGGGAAGUGCUGGUCCCCGAGGGGCCCUUGUACCGCGUGACUGGAACAGCUGUCUCCAUCUCCUGCAAUGUGACCGGCUACGAGGGACCUGCCCAGCAGAACUUCGAGUGGUUCCUGUAUAGGCCUGAGGCCCCAGAUACUGCACUGGGCAUUGUCAGUACCAAGGAUACCCAGUUCUCCUAUGCUAUCUUCAAGUCCCGAGUGGUGGCGGGUGAGGUGCAGGUGCAGCGCCUACAAGGUGAUGCUGUGGUGCUCAAGAUUGCCCGCCUGCAGGCCCAGGAUGCUGGCAUUUAUGAGUGCCACACCCCCUCCACUGAUACCCGCUACCUGGGCAGCUACAGCGGCAAGGUGGAGCUGAGAGUUCUUCCAGAUGCCCUCCAGGUGUCUGCUGCCCCCCCAGGGCCCCGAGGCCGCCAGGCCCCAACCUCACCCCCACGCCUGAUGGUGCAUGAGGGGCAGGAGCUGGCACUGGGCUGCCUGGCGAGGACAAGCACACAGAAGCACACACACCUGGCUGUGUCCUUUGGGCGAUCUGUGCCUGAGGCACCAGUUGGGCGAGCAACUCUGCAGGAAGUGGUGGGAAUCCGGUCAGACUUGGCCGUGGAGGCCGGAGCUCCCUAUGCUGAGCGACUGGCUGCAGGGGAGCUUCGUCUGGGCAAGGAAGGGACCGAUCGGUACCGCAUGGUAGUAGGGGGUGCCCAGGCAGGGGACGCAGGCACCUACCACUGCACUGCCGCUGAGUGGAUUCAGGAUCCUGAUGGCAGCUGGGCCCAGAUCGCAGAGAAAAGGGCUGUCCUGGCCCACGUGGACGUGCAGACACUGUCCAGCCAGCUGGCAGUAACAGUGGGGCCUGGUGAACGUCGGAUCGGCCCAGGGGAGCCCUUGGAACUGCUGUGCAAUGUGUCAGGGGCACUUCCCCCAGCAGGCCGUCAUGCUGCAUACUCUGUAGGUUGGGAGAUGGCACCUGCGGGGGCACCUGGGCCUGGCCGCCUGGUAGCCCAGCUGGACACAGAGGGUGUGGGCAGCCUGGGCCCUGGCUAUGAGGGCCGACACAUUGCCAUGGAGAAGGUGGCAUCCAGAACAUACCGGCUACGGCUAGAGGCUGCCAGGCCUGGUGAUGCGGGCACCUACCGCUGCCUCGCCAAAGCCUAUGUUCGGGGGUCUGGGACCCGGCUUCGUGAAGCAGCCAGUGCCCGUUCCCGGCCUCUCCCUGUGCACGUGCGGGAGGAAGGUGAGAGGGGGCUGGGCCCUGGACACGGUUCGAGGAUUGUCAACCCCUUUUCCUUCUGUUUCCAUGCCCCCCUCCCUCUCCAUCAGCUGCUUGCAUGCCACAGCCUCACGCUCCUCUUCUCCCAAUAUUGUGGGAAUACCCUGAGUUUCCUGCGGCGGUGCUUGGCAGCAGCUCUGACCCCAUGCUUCCUGGCCCUGCACCCUCUGACCCCAUGUCCUUUGUUCUGCAGGCGUGGUGCUGGAGGCUGUGGCGUGGCUAGCAGGAGGCACAGUGUACCGGGGGGAGACUGCCUCCCUGCUGUGCAACAUCUCUGUGCGGGGUGGCCCCCCAGGACUGCGGCUGGCCGCCAGCUGGUGGGUGGAGCGACCAGAGGACGGAGAGCUCAGCUCUGUCCCUGCCCAGCUGGUGGGUGGCGUGGGCCAGGAUGGUGUGGCAGAGCUGGGAGUCCGGCCUGGAGGAGGCCCUGUCAGCGUAGAGCUGGUGGGGCCCCGAAGCCAUCGGCUGAGACUGCACAGCUUGGGGCCCGAGGAUGAAGGCGUGUACCACUGCGCCCCCAGCGCCUGGGUGCAGCAUGCCGACUACAGCUGGUACCAGGCGGGCAGUGCCCGCUCAGGGCCUGUUACAGUCUACCCCUACAUGCAUGCCCUGGACACCCUGUUUGUGCCUCUGCUGGUGGGUACAGGGGUGGCCCUAGUCACUGGUGCCACUGUCCUUGGUACCAUCACUUGCUGCUUCAUGAAGAGGCUUCGAAAACGGUGAUCUCUUACUCCCCAGGUCUUGCAGGUGUUGACUGUCUUCCAGCCCAGCUCCAAGCCCUCCUCUGGUUGCCUGGACACCCUCUCCCUCUGUCCACUCUUCGUUUAAUUUAUUUGACUUCCCACUACCCAGAAUGGGAGACAUGCCUCCCCUUCCCCACUCCUUCCCUCCCAAGCCCCUCCCUCUGGCCUUCUGUUCUUGAUCUCAUAGGGAUCCUAUAGGGAGGCCAUUCCCCAUCCUGGAAUUAGUUUUUCUAAAAAGUGAAUAAACUGGUUUUAUAAAAAGCA